rnacentral:lncRNA from 1 species
CAGGAAAACUGCCUUGGGUGCCAUGGCGCAGCCUGCCCACACUUCAGGCACAGAGCACAGAAGAUUCUGUGGUUUCCACACCUGGGAAGAGAAAAGAAAAACCUUCCAGUGUUCAGGUAGCCACAACUUGACCAUGGGGACCCCUUGAACUGGCACGACCUCCCGUCCGCACCCAAGUCCCCACCAGCCUGUCCCUCUGAUGGUUCUGGGCUGGGUGUGGCAGGGAAAGGGCAGAAGUGAGACUUUGACCUGGUGGGUGCACACGCCUAGGUGUAAAUCUAGCUCCAACAUCUUACAUGAGAAUGAAUUGAAUUCAGAUUCUUUAAUGGCUCACCCUGGAGUUUUAUCCCUCCUGGUAAUAAUUUCAUGACCAACACAA